rnacentral:rRNA from 1 species
UACGUAGGGUGCGAGCGUUAAUCGGAAUUACUGGGCGUAAAGCGUGCGCAGGCGGUUCGUCGUGUCCGAUGUGAAAGCCCCGGGCUCAACCUGGGAAUGGCAUUGGAAACUGGCGGACUCGAGUGUGGCAGAGGGGGGUGGAAUUCCGCGUGUAGCAGUGAAAUGCGUAGAGAUGCGGAGGAACACCGAUGGCGAAGGCAGCCCCGUGGGCUAACACUGACGCUCAGGCACGAAAGCGUGGGGAGCAAACAGG